AACGCACAACCCACCGCCCCCCAGUGUCCUUUCUCCACGGCACCCUCACUGCAGCCUUUAACCCAAUGCGCCUUCAGGCUUCCAUGGGAAAACUUUUUUAACAGAGGAUGGAGAAGCUCUGUCUCCAUUUAUUCCUUUGCCUUUCAGUUUAGCAGCCCUCUCCAGCAUUAACUCCAGAGUGGCUUUUCUCAAGGGACUCCUGCCACCAGAAAUGGUCCAGAGACCCAUGACUCACUUCAUCAUGGCUGCCAAGGAGCUGUCAGACGGUGGUUCUUAUGGCCACAGGCCAUGUUUGAAGCUGCUUGACAUGCCAUUAAAAGCAGCUUGAGGCAGGCAGUGCCCCCCAUGGAGUUCAUCAGCUUUGUUUUGGUUGCUGGGCCAGAGCAGAUUGUUGCCUUAAGAAAAGUUGCAGCCCCCUUAAAAGCUGGGGUUUCACUCAAAAUCAUUUUCCUGCUCAACAAACACCAAACCACUUAUUUCUCUAAGUCCAAGAAGGGUUUUAGUUCUAUGAUACAACCCAAAGAACCUAAGACAAGAGUCAACCCAAGAGACAUCCAUACAGACUACUUACUGGAUGGUCCAGAACAGUAUGUAGGUUCCAAACGGAGAGGCAGUGUUAACAAAUGAUUGGAGUGGAUGCCUGGAACACUAUGCUGAGAAUACCAAAUUGGCAAAGGGUAGGGGAGGCAAUUAGCCAUGUCUGCCUUAGAUGCACCAUUAGGAAAAGACAGCAUUAUACUAUAUGUUUAUAGACUUUAGUCUGCGAAUAUUUUCUUUCUUUCCUCAGCUGUUGUCAUUGCCUCCAAAUGAGCUUUCCUGACCACAGGUCUCCAGACACCCAUGCACCCCAUUCUGCCACCACAGUCAGUAAGCUAAUGGGCACAUCCAAUCCAUAUUUCUUCCUAUAGCUCACACUGUCCAAGGUCUUCAGCAUCGUACAGAACAUCCUAGACAAUCAAGCUCCAGCCCAUCUCUCCAGCCACUUCUCUCAUCACUCUUCCCCAGAAGGCAGUGCCCCAGUCACCCCCAAAUUUCCCAUAUUGUUUGAGAUGUCCUUCCUCUUGGCACCCAUUACUCCUUUUGUCUGAACAAAAGCAUUCCAUGUUGUGCUCAAUGUACAAGACACACUGGCUUUGCAGUUUUAAGUUUCUGACUACCAUACUCGACCUUGUGAAAUUGUGCACAUCUUUCCAAUUUCAGUUCAAAUGUCACUCCCUAGUCUCUCCAUCCAGGAUGUCCCAAGACCUUUUGUCCAUGUUAGUAUGAUGGUUUUAUUACAUCAGAUCUUAUUAACAAGACCCUCUCUCUUUGAGUGACAGAAACCAAUUCAAACUGGCUUAAGAAGGAAAAUACCCAAUUAAUAACUUUUUAAAAAGGAAUGUACUAUUAUGCCCUUAGGUUGUUUAAAAGUUUGAAGAGGGAGCUUCAUACAUGACUGGAUCAAGCCACACAAUGCUAACUUCAAGGAUGACGCCUUCAUUUCCAGGUAUUCUUCUUUGUGCUAACUUAACUCUGAGCAAUUGCGGCUGCUCCAGCCUCAAGCCUUCAGGAGCCUUCUUCCCUAACAGUCCCAAAAGAAGGCCCAGAAUUAAGUUUCAUGGGCCUUAGAUCAUUUGCCCAUCCCUGGACCAAGCACUGUGGCCAAGGGGACAGAAUUUGCUGACUGUCCAGGUCUGAGUGAGAGUCCACCCCUAAAGCAGGAGGAGUCAACCAACUCCACCCAAACCAUAUGGACUGGACAGAUUAGGUUCAUCAAGGAAGACAGGGGUGUUAUUUCUAGAAAAAUGAAGCAAUUAUUACAGGAAGGGCAAACAGAACAUCCAUACACACUCAAAAAAAAUGAAUUUGGAAUUUAUAUGCCUCUUUUCCCCACCAAACUGACCCCAUCUCACCAUUCAGGAUGCCCAGUGGCAGAGGCUUCAAGGACAGCUUAAGGACAAUCACUUUUCCUUAACUCUUUGAAAGUAUAUGGGAGCUUCAAUUCAGUCUCUUGGGAACAUGCUUAUUAAUUGUCUGUGUUUACUGAGUAUUUCUGUCCUCCUUCUGUGAAGCAAUUUAUGAGUCUUGGUGCAGCUUGCAGAGACAAGCAUUUCUCGAGUCUUUGCUUGACAAGUACAGAAGGGAAUUUAUGUGAAGUGUUCUGUGAUACGCAUUAUGUUUACUUGCUAAUGAAAUUUAUUCCGGUUUUUGUGCUUAUUUAUAGCAUACUGAUGCAGUCAUUUAAAAAUGGCUUAUAUGCAACCAAUUUAAAAUAUUUAAAAGCUCUUAUUGUAACAACCAAAGAUAAGGGAGUUAAAAUGAGUAAGAAAAGAGAAGCUUUUGUUGAUGGCCAAAGACAAAAAAGGAAAUGAGAAACCUCUAGUGAAUACAGAUACAUAUGCAUUGUCCUUGGUCUUUUAUUUGAAAUAAUAUUUGAUUUUUAAGUCUCAUAUGCAAAGAAAAUCCCUGAUCACUCAUGCGUAAUCCCUGAAAAUUCCAAGAAGCGUAUAUGAAUGUUAGCCUUCAAGUUAAUACUUCCAGUGCGUUUUUUUUUUCUCUGUAACUCCCCAAAGCAUUCCAUUUUGUGCUCAAUGUUGUACAAGACACACUGGCUUUGCAGUUUUAAGUUUCUGAACUCAGAUUCCAGUCUGCCAUAUUCUGGCUUUGCUGCCAAGAAAAGCAACCUGCUCAAAAGCAUUUUUACCUGCAUUGCAAAACACAUGUGACAUUAAUGCCAAAGUAGAAAUAUGGCAAUUCAGACACAUUUAUCCAAUGGCAAGAAGUAUAUUAAAGAACACACCUGUCAUUUACUUUCUGCCAGGCGUUAUUCUGGGUACAUCAUACAUAUUUACCCACUUAAUUCUCACAACCACCCUUUGACAUAGUCACUGAUAGGAUUCUCAUUACACUGAUGAGAAAAUUAAAGCAUAAGGCAGUUCGGUAACCUUCCAAGGACUUCACAGUAAGUGCAGAGCCAUCAGUUCGACACAAGCACCUGACACUCCAGUUGUACAUCUGACGAUGUACUAACUUCUUUCUACUACACUAGACUCCUUCCCCAGUGAGGUAGCUUUGGAAUGAGACAGGCCUAGGUUCAAACUCCAUCUCUACCACAUACUAACUAGUAACCUGGGUGAGUUAUUUCAUCUGUCUGAUCCUAGAUCUUCAUCUGUGACAUGAAGAUAGUAUCACACAAAUCCCCUAGCACCAUGCCUUGUACUCAGAUGUUAGCUUUCUUCCUGCAGACACAAGCAUGCUAACUGCACACCGGCAUAGCAUCUAACUCCAGCCACUAAGUGCAAAUGGACUUAAGGAACCUACACAAAGGAAGGCACAAUCCUACAAAUCACCCAAAUGAGAUAGAGACAAAAAGGAAGGAAAAAAACAGUAUUUCAGGCUUGGUGUUUUUUGUCAAAAGCAAGUUUUGGCUUUGAAUCACCCAGUUCAUUUUGGGAGUGUCAGCCUAGCUUGAGAAAUGCUGCCAGUCAUCCAAAAUAUUUAUUAGAAUUUCAGGAAAAAAGAACUAGGCUAUUGAUCUGCACGUUCAAGAACUAUCAGAGUUGACUCAGUGUUCUCCUGUGUGUGUAAGUAAGUACUACCAAAAUGACCCCCCACGGUGCUCAUCACUUGUGUGAGUUCCUUCAAUACAGGACAGGACAGGACAGCCACAGUCAGAGGAGAGGUUUGGGGCUCCAGUAACCACUCAGCUGGUAUCUUCUGACCACCUAAUGACCAGGUAGAAUCAUCUGCACAACCAAUAUAAUUGAUUAUUUUGAAAUGGAGCGUGAAGGUGGCAAAAAAGGGGAUCAACUAUGAAGCCUGGGGUACAUUUGCAUGUCCUAACAAAAUCCCAAGAAUCAAGAAAAAUCAAGAUAGAAAAAAAAAUGUGUAAUAUUUAUUUGUUUCCAGUUGGCUAGUAUGUGACCUGUAGACACACUGAGCCAUAGGUGCCUAAGUCUCCAAGUCCAUCCUCACUGACCCAAAUAUGAAAAAGGAUUAUUUUUCAUCUCCAUGGGAACAACUUAUUGAGCAACUAUUUGUUAGUCACUGAGCCAAGCAUGUAAAGUUCACUAAAUAAUCGAGUCUUCACAACUACAUCUCAGUACAGCAAGUCUAACUUUUUUCCACACUAUAGGUCGGGAAAGUGGGUCAAAGGCAGUCAUGAGCCUUCCCAAGUUUACACAGCUGGUUGAUUGGUUUCAAUAUUUUUAUCUGCAAGUGGAAGAAACCUAAGUCUAGGUUGAGACUUCAAUCUAAGCCUCAAGAACAAGAACACUCUCGGGGGUCUCUCUUUUAGGGCCACUAAUCCCAUUCUUGAAGGAUCUACCUCCUGACCUAAUCGUCUCCCGAAGACUCACCUCCUAAUCCCACCAUACUGAGAAUUCGCUUCCAAGCUAUGAAUUUGGAGGGCACACAAACACUCAGUCCCCAGCAGCGUGCAAGCUCCAGGGAGAUAGGGAUUGAUUCUGCACUUGCUGGUUCACAGCCCUGGUUUCUAGCACACCUCAUGGCACAUGCCAGGUACUCAGGAAAUACUGGCCAAACUAAAAAACAGCUUCACAAAAUGAAGAGUUCCACUCUGUUCUUUUAACCUCUUCUCUAAUGCUCUUUUUAAGCAAAUCUACUCCUUGACCCACUACCAACCUCUAUUUCCUUUAUCUCCACAAAUUCCACAGAGCUGGAUGUAGCACUUUGUAAUACAUGCCCAUGUGGCCUGAUCUCACGGGCUUGGUCUAGAAAACGACUACAAGAAAAAAAAAAAAAAGAAAGAAAUCAAGUUUGGAGUUCCCGUCGUGGCUCAGUGGUUAACGAAUCUGACUAGGAACCAUGAGGUUGCGGGUUCGAACCCUGGCCUUGCUCAGUGGGUUAGGGAUCCGGUGUUGCUGUGAGCUGUGGUAUAGGUUGCAGACAUGGCUUGGAUCUCGGGUUGUUGUGGCUCUGGUGUAGGCGGGCGGCUACAGCUCCGAGUGGACCCCUAGCCUGGGAACCUCCUUAUGCCACGGGAGCGGCCCUAGAAAAG
rnacentral:lncRNA from 1 species